GAACGGGGACGACCCCGUUCGCAUCACUUCAUCCGGGGACGGCCCCA
rnacentral:ncRNA from 1 species